rnacentral:rRNA from 1 species
GGCUCAGAACGAACGCUGGCGGCGUGCUUCACACAUGCAAGUCGAACGAACCUUCGGGUUAGUGGCGGACGGGUGAGUAACGCGUGACAAUCUGCCCUCAGGAGGGGGAUAACGGUUGGAAACGACCGCUAAUACCCCAUAUGCCGAGAGGUGAAAAGAAAUUCGCCUGAGGAUGAGCUCGCGUCUGAUUAGCUAGUUGGUGUGGUAAUGGCGCACCAAGGCUUCGAUCAGUAGCUGGUCUGAGAGGAUGAUCAGCCACACUGGGACUGAGACACGGCCCAGACUCCUACGGGAGGCAGCAGUGGG